GUCUUUCACUUGGUGGUGGCCACAACGUUGAAUCGCGCGCAUGCUUCCCGCCUCUAACUUCAUUUUAGCCUCUAUCUUUGCCACUGGAUUUUUUGAAAGUACAUGUCUGUAUGAGUUGGGACUUUUGGAGAAACAAAUGGACAAAAAAAUAGCCAGCUGUCGGCCUUCAGGCCUCUCUGCAGUGAGCAAACGCCUACCUGGCCCUUUAAAGAUGGCGACCGGAAAACCUACUUGGCCCGAGGGAAAGAAACGGUGAUAAGAAAAGACCGAAGCAGACGCUGCCCGCACCGCUCCCGUGAAUGCUGGGCUGCGCAGCCGGACCGACUGCAGGACAACAAACUGCGCAGACAGCCGGCGUCCAAUCAGACGGCAGACAGG